CAAACAACUCUCGACAACAGAUAUCUCGGCUCUCACAUUGAUGAAGAACGUAGCGAAAUGCAUUACUUGGUGUCAAUUGCAGAAUCCCAUGAACCAUCAAGUCUUUGAUUGCAAGUUGCGCCCGAAGCCAUUAGGCCGAGGGCACGUCUGCCGAGGCAUCACAC
rnacentral:rRNA from 1 species